GCUUUCUCCCAGCUGAUGACUGGGGGUUAGCCGACGCCCUGUGAGUUCCCGCUCACGGGGCGUUCAACUUUUUCAGGU
rnacentral:antisense_RNA from 1 species